AUCGAUAGCACCCUACACCUGCUAUCCGCCCGGGAACUACGAGCAUUAGCUUGAAACCCAAAGGACUUGGCGGUGCUUUAGAUCCACCUAGAGGAGCCUGUUCUAGAACCGAUAACCCCCGUUAAACCUCACCCUUCCUUGCUUUUCCCGCCUAUAUACCGCCGUCGUCAGCUUACCCUGUGAAGGUCCUAUAGUAAGCAUAAUUGGCACAGCCCAAAACGUCAGGUCGAGGUGUAGCGUAUGGAGGGGGAAGAAAUGGGCUACAUUCCCUAAUGCAGUGAAUACGAACGAUGCACUGAAAUGUAUAUCUGAAGGAGGAUUUAGCAGUAAGCAGGAAAUAGAGUGUUCCGCUGAAAUUGGCCCUGAAGCGCGCACACACCGCCCGUCACCUCAAAAA
rnacentral:rRNA from 1 species